rfam:Dolosigranulum pigrum ATCC 51524 genomic scaffold supercont1.2, whole genome shotgun sequence.
GGGGUCGUUACGGAUUCGACAGGCAUAGAUCGAGCUCGGGACGCAUUUAGCAGGUGACGUCUGCUUAUCAACGUUCAGUUUAAAUUUAACUGCAAACAAAAAUUCAAACUUAGCUUUAGCUGCGUAAGUAGCUUCUGCUAGAUCUGAGCUGGGUUCGCCCACGAUGCAGUUUCAGGUCCUAUAAUUGAGUGGGAUACGCUGAGUUCUUCCGUCUGCAGGCUUAGAAGAGAUCAUCAGACUAGCAACCACCGAUGUUCGUUUCAUAACUAGGUGCAAGUGAACUUCCAAGAUGAAACUAUGAGUGUAUAUGCCCGAGUGACGAUAUGCUUGGACAGGGGUUCGACUCCCCUCGACUCCAUUU